rnacentral:lncRNA from 1 species
AGCCUCAAACUUUUAUUAGAAGUUGCUAAAAGUUGUUGACAAAGAAAAAUCUUAUAUAAACGAUUCAACCCCAUAUAUCAGUGGGCCGAGAACAACAAGGGUAAGUGGCUAUGGCUUCAACCUUUUUGGUGCUUCUCAGGCGUAAAUGAUUCAACCCCAGCUCUUCAAUAUGAGGUUACAAUGUUAAUGGUUUUGACCCCGACGCAAAC